UUUUUUUUCUAGGUCAAAUACCUUUUCAGCUUGUCAACUCCUGUGACGGCAAUGUCUGAGAAACAUACCUCCAAACCAUGAGUUCAUCUGAUGAGGAGAGUUUCAAUGGCCUCAGAGUGCACUUCACGCAGACCGAGUGGGCGCGGCUGGCCGAAUGGGAGAAGGUGCGCUUCAAAAACAUGAAGAGGAACCACCUGGCCAUGCUGGCCAUAGGUCUGUCCUCCACUCCUCCAGCCUUCAUGAAGAAGGGCCGGGCCAGAAGGGAGACGUUGGCGAGAGCACCCACUGCUGACAGCACCGACUCAGAGGAAGAGUGGACACCCAGUUUGGAGAGGAGACCUCCAGCCUCUCGUGCCUUCAGAGCUCCCGUCAGAACCCCAGCUGAGUCCAGAGUUGGCUCCGUAAGGCGCACCCAGCCCCUAGCUCCUGCCCUGCCAUCUCAGGUGAACACCCAGCCCCCAGCUCCUGCCCUGCCAUCUCAGGUGAACACCCAGCCCCCAGCUCCUGCCCUGCCAUCUCAGGUGAACACCCAGCCCCCAGCUCCUGCCCUGCCAUCUCAGGUGAACACCCAGCCCCCAGCUCCGGCCCUGCCAUCUCAGACAGGGAAGAAGACGAUGUUGGAAGCUGGGCAGAUGAUAAUUCCGAUGGAGCAAGUAUUGAUUCCUUCGAUGAGUUGGAUUGGGAAGAACGCAUUGACCGUGUCCUUGACAUAGAUGUCCCUGCACGAGACACACCUGUCCUCUCCCCUCAUCCAACACCCCUCAGCUCUUCUGACCUGCCUGGACCAUCAAGGCCUCCUCCAGCUCGAAGGCAGAUGAAGGCCAAAAGGAGAGUGAGGUCAUCCUCCAAGGCAGCAACAGCAUCCACACCAUGGCUGCUUCCUUCAAAGAGGAGGAGACCAGCCCCACUGGGGGAUAGAGGGCAUGCUGGUGGUUCUGAGGAGAACGUGUGCCCUUCACAGAUUUCUGCAGGGCAGACGAGGGCCAAAAGGAGAGUGAAGUCAUCCUCCAAGUCAGCAACAGCACCCAUACCACUGCUGCCUCCUUCACCGGUGGACAGAUGGCAUGAUGGUGCUGAAGAGGACGUGUGCCCCCCACAGUUUCCGUUCUGCCCUAAGAGGAUGCCUGGACCGCAGCUUGAUUCCCAGAAAUCAUACAGCCCCAAGGAAAUCUUCGACCUGUUUUUCCACAAACAAUGCCAUUACAACGCUGUGUAUCAACACAAAUAAAUAUGCUGCCCGGAAGAUUGCGGAGGGUGCAAAGAUGCGGUGGAAAGAGGUGAAGC
ensembl:lncRNA